AUUUGUGUAUGAGUGAAUGUGUGUGUGUAUAUAAAAAGGGCUGGCAUUUGGGAUGUUUGAGCUGUUUGGCUACACACGGCACCAUGGUAUGGGGAUGUCAGGUGGCCGACAGAGUUUACAAGCAGUGGCUGCUGUAUACAAUGACCUUGUGGGGGAUUGUUGGCUACUACCAUUGAAGCUGGCGUCAACUCACCAUACUCACAGACUGUCCCUUCCCCUCAUUACCAC